UUUGGUUUAUAUGACAGUGACCUCAUUUUCUUGGAUCAUGUUAAGUUUAUGUGAUAGUUGUAGUAAAGCUUUAUAUUUAGGACUAUCAACAUAAUAUCAAUGAUUAGUAUUUAAGAAGGCGAGACAUUUCAGGAUGUGCACUCUUGUGUUUAUAUUAGACCAGUUUAUUGUUUAAUACAUAAAUUAAUAGGUUAAAAUUAGAAUAGUUUUCAAGGAACCAGUUUCAUUAUAAAUAGAUAUUGACAUUGAAGAUAUGAUUUUAUAUCGAAGUCUACCAAAACGCAAAUGCACAGAAAAACUUUGGCAAUCCAGUAUAUAUGAAUAUUACAAUUUAGUGACAAUUUAAAAGCAUAUAUUAUAUGAUUUAAUUGAUGGUUUUCAUUAGAAAAAUUAUCAAAAUUUAAUUUGUAAAUAAAUCAUUAUAUUGUGUUAUCAUGUAGUGUUCAAAGUGAGUACUAAAAUAGUUCAUCAGAAGACAUCACUGUAUAUGAAUCUUAAAUACUUAAGUGUGAUAAAUCCCAGUUCAAAGUAACUAGUGCAAUCAUUCCAGGUACAAAAUCACUAGUCAGUAGUGUAAUAAUUCCUGGUUCAAAAUCACUAGUGUUAUUGUAAGCCAUAAUAGUGUCCUGUGAAAAAUUAAGUGUCCAGUUGGACAGUUUUUCAUAGAAUUUUGGUAUUUAAUAAUGUCCAUUGCCAUGAUAUAUUGUCCCUCAAGUAGACAGAUUUUUACUGCAAAAGUUAUGAAAUAGUGUCCACCCACAGGACAAGUUUUCAUACUAGUUGCUAUUAAAUUGUGUCCUCCAAGGGAAGUAAUACAAAGGUCAUUAAAAAGUUUUAUUGUACUUGAAAUUUUAAUAAAAUCAGAAGGAUUGAGUAGAAAUUGAUUUAUAUAAACAAACAAAUAAUGGAUGGAAGUGAAUAUAGAUACAUUUAAGUUCUAAGAAAUACCCAGCUAAUGCUAAUAACAAUGAAAGAAGAACAAUAAGAAGGGAGUGUGUAAAGUAUAAAAUCAAAUCUCCGUGCCUAGACUGCAGUUUUUGGCAAUUCUCAACAUUAGGAAAGAAAACUUGAAAGAAAACUUGAAACAGCAACCAAGAUACAGAUACAUGUACAGAUGCCCUUAAAGUUUUUGAUGAAGUUAAGAGCAAGAUACUAUCCCAUCCAGCAGUGAUACGGUAUGACCAAUUCCCAGACAAUAUGACAAAGAAUAACAAUUGGACACCAACAGUUCACAUAUGAGAAGAUGUUUUUAGGACUUCAUACAUGUACAGGAGCUUCUAAGGAGGAAUUGAAAAGAAGAUUGCAUUAUCCUUAACUUCACAUUUUGCUAUAAAGAUGAUUUCCUUUUAUUGAAUAAUUCAAAGAAUGUUGACUUUGUUGAACGCAUGUAUCCCAUUGAACUUGAAAUAAAGGAUUCAACAGAUACAGGUGAAUCCUUGCUGGGUCAUUGAAAAACCUACUGGAAGUUCUUCUGAUACUGGAAAUUGAAAACAAAUGGUCAUUUUGGAAGAAAAUUGAUAGAGGAAAGAUACAGAUAUACAAGAAUUUCAUAUUUGAAAUGCACUUAAUAUUUCUUUUGUAUAUGAUCACCAAAUUUUGGCAGUCAAAUAAGGCCAAUUAAAAUUAAUUGAUAGAUUUUCAUCCCCGCCCGCCCCUCUGAAAAUGUCCCGCUGCGAUUUUUUUUAUUUUUAAAAAUAUACGAUUUCCGGAUUUUGUUCAUUUACGUUACCGGUAACCGCCGAUAAUUUCGAUUCAUUAAAACUUCCUUUUUCAAAUUUCGGUUUUCGUAUUUCUUCGAGUAAUAUAAGUCGACAUAUUCUUCUGCUCAAUGAUGACAACAUUAUCUUUUGAGAAUAUAGAUUGAUUACUAGAAGGACAUAAAUUAUUCGGCUUACGAGUAAUUGGCGUUGUCCAAGAACGGUAAUCACGGUUUGUCACAAAUUUCAGUGAAUAUAAAACCGUCGAUUAUUUUAUUUAUACAAUGACAUUGUGUAAGGAAAUUUAGACUGUGAAUGAUAUCCAAAGCGCAAAAAUCGUGGAACACAUUGAUACAAAAUCAUGACUGGAAUAAAGAAAUUAACACAAGCACAAACUUGUGCGAUUUAUGACCGUAUAUUGAGUACAAAGAGUCGGCCAACGUACAAAAUGUAUUAUAGCUGCCAUGGCUUAGAUUUACCUCCAAAGCUGUCAUUUCAGCCCUUCAAUAGAGUUAUUAAAUAACUUUUUUUUUUUGGUUCAGUUCAUGUUUUACAUUGUAAUUAUAUUUGCACCUUGCAUAAGAAUCUUAAAAGCAUGAACCCUAGUAUUUUCAACACAGUUUGAGUUUUCAUUUCACUCUGUACUCAUAAUAUUUGUGUUGCAUACCAAUGCAUAUGCUUCAUUUUAUGGGCACUAUAAAUCAUAACUUAGAAAGCAAAAAAUGAUCUAUGUAGUCUAAAAGAGAACAUUUUUCCACGUUUUUGCUAUUUACUAAAAAUCGGUUUCUAAAGCGGCAAUUACAUGUAGAACAAUGGUUGCCAAUCGGAAAUAUUGAUUUAAGAAUUAAAACAAAAAUGUAGAAUUCCUUAUAUAAACAUGAUAUAAGCUUAUUAUUACCCUUGUACAUUGUGUAUAUGAACAACACGUCUCAAAAUGGUUAAGGAGGAAAUAAAAAUUAAAAAAAUAAAUCCUCCCACCCGCCCCAUUUUUUUCAAAAAUCUGGAUGAAAAUCUUCUUAUUAAUUUUAGUUGGCCUAAUGGUAUCAUUGUUAUCUUUGCCAUAUAAACAAAUAUACCUGGUAAAAUUUGUUCAUUAGAGGAAACUUUAAUUACAAAUAUCUAUUCACAUUAAAUUUAGAUGAUUUUUUUACCAAUUUUUUAAUUUUAAAAAUAAAUCAAUUGUUUUUAUUCUGUGGGAUUCAAAAUGUUUUGCCAUUUAUGAUAAUCUAUUUAUUUUGAAUAGUCUGAAAUACAUUUCAUGAAAAUUUCAAAUUCAAAAUAAGGCCUCUACAGUGCAUACUCCAUCACAAAUUGAGGUAAUGUUAGUAUUGAUUCUGAGGUAAAGGAGUAGGGGCAUUAAGGCCCAGUUUUGGCACAAGAAAAUAAAAUUUUUGACAACUUUUUCAAAUUGGCACAUAAUGUUUGGAAAUGCAUUGAGUGAAGAAAUAUAAAUGAAAAACAUAAGAUUGUUUAUAUGAUGACGUCACAGUUACGUCAUAAUAUGUACCGUUUUCAUGAAAAAGAUGAAAAAUGCAGAAUUUUCGCAAUUUUUCAUCGUUAUUUCCAUUACGGAAACAUCGUGCGCAGCCAAGAAACAACAAAAUAAUUUAAGAGAAGCUUUAUUAUAACUAUUGAAAUAAUCUCACCAAAUAUAAAGUUGUUUCUUGGGUGCGCACAUACUUUGCCAAUCUUAAAUAUACUUAGAAUUUGAUGAAAAACAAGGAAAUUCAAGAAAUUUUAUAAAAUA